rnacentral:lncRNA from 1 species
UCAUUCGUAAGAGGUUUGGAAGUCUUGAAUCCAUCGGCGAUAUCAUCACCAAGAGAAUACUCGCUACUCUGACCUGCUAUAAAAUGUUCUUCAUUUCUCUUUUCAAUGACUACAGAAUUAUCAGGCCUUAAUUGAGGCAUUAGGUGGCCAGCAACUUUUCCAUCUGUUCUCGUUGGAACCACAGUGCUGGAAGCUGCCAUUUCUUUCCCCAUAUACGAAGAGAAUUCAGCAUUUGUCACUAAAGAACCCUUCGGAUUAGCCUGCGUGCUACCUGCUUUAGUAAUCUUAU